rnacentral:tRNA from 1 species
GCCGCAAUAGCUCAGUCGGUAGAGCACGUCAUUCGUAAUGACGGGGUCGGGGGUUCGAAUCCUCUUGCGGCACCA